rnacentral:rRNA from 1 species
GACGAACGCUGGCGGCGUGCUUAACACAUGCAAGUCGAACGAGUGGCGAACGGGUGAGUCAUACGUGGGUAACCUGCACUCUUUUUGGGGUAAGGCAAGGAAACGGGGUCUAAUACCCAAUAAAGGGGGGUGGGGUCGCGGCCUAUCCGGGUGUUGGUGGGGUGCUGGCCUACCAAGGCGGUGACGGGUAGGCGGCCUGAGAGGGUGACGGGCACUAUUGGGACUGAGAUACGGCCCAGACACCUACGAGAGGCAGCUGUGGGGGAUAGUGCACAAUGGGCGAAAGCCCAAUGCAGGGAGGCGGAGUGGGGGUUGAAGGCUUGCGGGUUGUAAACCUCGUUCGCUAUCGAACGGGUAGGUGGAGAAGAAGCGCCGGCUAACUACGUGCCAGCCGCCGCGGUAAUAC